rnacentral:pre_miRNA from 1 species
GACAUCAAGAAACUAGUGAUUAUGCCAAACCACAGGGACAUAUCACAGUUUACUUGCUGUCGC